rnacentral:tRNA from 1 species
GCGGAUGUGGUCUAGGGGUCAUAACUCAACCUUGCCAAGGUUGGAACCCGGGUUCGAUUCCCGGCGUCCGCA